GGAGAAGAUCAGAUGAUCGCUGGCAGAUUUUGUCUGCCGGAGGAAAGUCCGAGCUCCACAGGGCAGGAUGGUCGCUAACGGCGACUGGGGGCGACCCCAAGGAAAGUGCCACAGAAAAUAUACCGCCCGAGGCGUUUAGCCCAGGGUAAGGGUGAAAUGGCGAGGUAAGAGCUCACCGCUUUUCCGGUGACGGAAAAGGCAUGGUAAACCCCAUCCGGAGCAAGACCAAAUAGGAGAACGUUCGGCGGGCAACUGCCGUCCCAGAUGAAUGAUCAUUGCCGUGUCGAGGGUAACCGAAACGCGGAACAGAACUCGGCUUAUGAUCUUCUCUUGUG
rnacentral:RNase_P_RNA from 1 species